rnacentral:lncRNA from 1 species
CGCGAUUUUUCACGAAAUGUUGGGGAGGUACCCCACAUUUCGCGGGGCGCGUUUUGGGGCCCAAAACGCGCGAUUUUUCGCGAAAAGUUGCAAGGGUACCACGUGUUCCGCAGGCUUUUUUUGGGGCCCAAAACACGCGAUUUUUCACGAAAUGUUGGAGAGGUACCCCACAUUUCGCCCCAAAACGCGGUCUUCGUGAAUUGUUGGGGAGGUACCACAUGUCCCGCGGGCGUGCGUUUUGGCACCCAAAAAGAACACGGGAUUGUGGAGGUACGCUGCAGCUUUGGAUCAGCUGCCCCACACUAUAAGAGUAGGGGGAGUGUGAAAUAUU